rnacentral:rRNA from 1 species
AUACGAAAGGUGCAAGCGUUGUUCGGAUUUACUGGGCGUAAAGAGAGUGUAGGUGGUUUAUUAAGUCGGAUGUGAAAUCCCGGGGCUCAACCUCGGAACUGCAUUCGAUACUGAUAGGCUAGAGUUUGUGAGGGGUAAGCGGAAUUCCGUGUGUAGCAGUGAAAUGCGUAGAUAUACGGAGGAACACCUGAGGCAAAGGCGGCUUACUGGACCGAUACUGACACUGAGACUCGAAAGCGUGGGUAGCAAACAGAAUUAGAAACCCGGGUAGUCC